rnacentral:rRNA from 1 species
AUUGAACGCUGGCGGCAUGCUUUACACAUGCAAGUCGAACGGCAGCGCGGGCUUCGGCCUGGCGGCGAGUGGCGAACGGGUGAGUAAUACAUCGGAACGUGCCCAGUAGUGGGGGAUAGCUCGGCGAAAGCCGGAUUAAUACCGCAUACGACCUGGGGGUGAAAGCGGGGGAUCUUCGGACCUCGCGCUAUUGGAGCGGCCGAUGGCAGAUUAGCUAGUUGGUGGGGUAAAGGCCUACCAAGGCGACUAUCUGUAGCUGGUCUGAGAGGACGACCAGCCACACUGGGACUGAGACACGGCCCAGACUCCUACGGGAGGCAGCAGUGGGGAAUUUUGGACAAUGGGCGAAAGCCUGAUCCAGCAAUGCCGCGUGUGUGAUGAAGGCCUUCGGGUUGUAAAGCACUUUUGGCGGGAACGAAAAGGACUGUGCCAAUACCACGGUUCGAUGACGGUACCCGCAGAAUAAGCACCGGCUAACUACGUG